rnacentral:rRNA from 1 species
GAGUUUGAUCCUGGCUCAGAACGAACGCUGGCGGCGUGGCUAAGGCAUGCAAGUCGAACGGACAUGGGCGUUGGGUAACUGAUGCCUAUGUUAGUGGCGAACGGGUGAGGAAUGCAUGGAUAACGUACCCUGGACUCGGGGAUAGCGGCGGGCUUCGGCCCUUUGCGAAAGUGCCGGUAAUACCCGAUGACCUCGCGGGAGCUCCUGUUUCUGCGAGCAAAGUUUAGGCGGUCUGGGAGCGGUCCAUGCCCUAUCAGCUUGUUGGUGGGGUAACGGCCUACCAAGGCAACGACGGGUAUCGGGUGUGAGAGCAUGACCCGACACAUCGGAACUGAGACACUGUCCGGACACCUACGGGUGGCUGCAGCAACGAAUAUUCCGCAAUGGACGCAAGUCUGACGGAGCGACGCCGCGUGCAGGACGAAGUCCCUCGGGAUGUAAACUGCUGUCAGGGGUGAGAAAGAAUGUGAUCAGCCCCAGAGGAAGCAUCGGCUAACUCCGUGCCAGCAGCCGCGGUAC